UAAGUGCAAUGUGAAUGGGGCAUAAUACAGUUUAGCAAAAUUAUUUCUGCACAACAUAUGGCAGUCUGAACCACCAGGUUGCUUUAGGUAGAAGAAACCAUCUGGAUGAAUUAUGAAAACUUUUGAAGAAUAAACAAAAUUGUCAGUUACCU